GGAUUAGGCAUGCAAGUCGAACGGGUCCCCUCGGGGACUAGUGGCGCAAGGGUGAGUAACACGUGAGCAACCUGCCCCCGAAUCCGGAAUAAACCAGGGAAACUUGGCCUAAAACCGGAUGUUGGCCUUUUUCCGCAUGGACCUUGGCCGAAAUAUUCAUAGUUCGGGGAUGGGCUCGCGUCCCAUUAUGCUUGUUGGCGGGGUAACGGCCCACCAAGGCUACGACGGGUAGGUGGUCUGAGAGGAUGGUCACCCAUACUGGGACUGAGACACUGCCCAGACUCCUACGGGAGGCUGCAGUCGAGAAUCUUCCGCAAUGGGCGCAAGCCUGACGGAGCAAUGCCGCGUGAGGGAUGACGGCCUUCGGGUUGUAAACCUCUGUCAUCCGGGACGAAACCAAUGACGGUACCGGAAAAGGAAGCCACGGCUAACCACGUGCCAGCAGCCGCGGUAACACGUGGGUGGCGAGCGUUAUUCGGAUUUACUGGGCGUAAAGGGUCCGCAGGGGGCCUGCCACGCCCGCCGUGAAAUUUCAGGGCUCAACCCUGAACCUGCGGCGGGUACGGGCGGGCUGGAGUGCAGGAAGGGCAGACGGAAUUCCAGGUGUAGCGGUGGAAUGCGUAGAUAUCUGGAGGAACACCGAUGGCGAAGGCGGUCUGCUGGCCUGCAACUGACCCUCAUGGACGAGAGCGUGGGUAGCAAACAGGAUUAGAUACCCUGGUAGUCCACGCCGUAAACGUUGUGUGCUAGAUGUGGGUGGGUUCGGCCCCAUCCGCGUCCCAGCUAACGCGAUAAGCACACCGCCUGGGGACUACGGCCGCAAGGCUAAAACUCAAAGGAAUUGACGG
rnacentral:rRNA from 1 species